AACGAACGCUGGCGGCAUGCCUAACACAUGCAAGUCGAACGAUACCUUCGGGUCUAGUGGCGCACGGGUGCGUAACGCGUGGGAACCUGCCCUUAGGUUCGGAAUAACUCCCCGAAGGGGGUGCUAAUACCGGAUAAUGUCUUCGGACCAAAGAUUUAUCGCCUUUGGAUGGGCCCGCGUUGGAUUAGCUAGUUGGUAGGGUAAAAGCCUACCAAGGCGACGAUCCAUAGCUGGUCUGAGAGGAUGAUCAGCCACACUGGGACUGAGACACGGCCCAGACUCCUACGGGAGGCAGCAGUGGGGAAUAUUGGAAAAUGGGCGAAAGCCUGAUCCAGCAAUGCCGCGUGAGUGAUGAAGGCCUUAGGGUUGUAAAGCUCUUUUACCCGGGAUGAUAAUGACAGUACCGGGAGAAUAAGCUCCGGCUAACUCCGUG
rnacentral:rRNA from 1 species